rnacentral:rRNA from 1 species
UACGAAGGGGGCUAGCGUUGCUCGGAAUCACUGGGCGUAAAGCGCACGUAGGCGGAUUGCUAAGUCAGGGGUGAAAUCCUGGAGCUCAACUCCAGAACUGCCUUUGAUACUGGCGAUCUCGAGUCCGGGAGAGGUGAGUGGAACUGCGAGUGUAGAGGUGAAAUUCGUAGAUAUUCGCAAGAACACCAGUGGCGAAGGCGGCUCACUGGCCCGGUACUGACGCUGAGGUGCGAAAGCGUGGGGAGCAAUCAGG